GUCGCUGAGGAGCAAGGGUCUCAGCAAAUCCAACAGUUUGAUCCAUGUAUUUACGUGUUGAGUGAGUGGUGAUCCCCACCCUCAACUUAAUCUCUUUCUGUAAGAGAGAAAUUGCUAAUUACUUUCACAUUUUCUUCCUUUAGCUCUUGUGCCAUUCAGGAGUGGAAAAUAUGCAAGUGACCCUAGCAUGCCAGGCUACUCAGAAGAAUGCUUUAAUGGUGGCUGUCCAGCAGGCAUCCUUCUAUCACACACCCCGUGGGAGCUGUCCCGCUAUCAAGGAAAUAAGUUCUGGUCUGAGAAAUCAUAGUGGAGUGGGUCUAAGCAGAAGAAGAAAUUCCAGAAUUGUGAAUGGCAUAGAAGGCAUGCUGUUAGCCCCAAUUCCAAAAGUCUCAGAUGCCCUAACUCAUCCUUCAAAAAGAUUCCAGGCUACCAAAAGGGCUCCGGAAGCUUUCGUGUCUAUUCAACUAGAAAAGGUGGGGCUGCGGGACAUGAUGCUGAACGCCUUCCUCCUCAGGAAACAAGCCAUGGCUGACAGAAUGAAAAACCUUGUGAGUAGAGUAAGAAGGGCUCCCUAAAGAUCUCAUCAGCUUUUACAUUUGAG
rnacentral:lncRNA from 1 species